CCUUCUGGGCGCAACCAACGCUCAUGGCGGCCGACCGCGGCCCAAGACCAGAAGCCGCCUGUGCGCACGUGGGAUGGUGCCUCCCCUAGACUGACCUGAGGCCUAAGACCGCCCUGAGGCAGAGCGUCAGGGGCUUGAAGGGCCCCUUCUUGUUCUCACUGGAAGCAGGACCCCGAGACUGGAGUGUGUACAGAGGCAGGCAGGCCGGGGGCCGGGAUCCUGAGCCCCUGAGUCAGGAGCGAUGAGUGAGGCCCCUCGGGGUCCAGCGCGGGAGGCGUGGAAGCCCAGGCUCGGAUGGGAGAAGUCUGGGCACAGACGAAGAAGGAGAUGAAUCUCGUGUGCCUAUGGUUCUGUCAAAGGUGCUUCCUGUUUCCAGGCUCGAGUUAUUUUCCGUCUGGUUCACACCUAAGGGCUCAACGCUGAGGAGACUCAGUCUUGGGUUUUCAAGACCUCGGAGUCUUGUAGGUGAAACCAGGUCGACAGGAAACAGGACUCCCAACUCAUUCAUGGCAACAAGGACGUCAUUCUGUUUCUCUAGGGAGAGAAUGAGGGCUCAGAGGGAGGCCUGUCCUGUCAGAGUGGAGUCAGUAAGCUCCUCAGAGCAGAGCCGGGUGAGAAGGGAGCACCCGGUUUUCCCCUCAAAGAGAAGAGAUGUGCUAACCCAGGGCCGCAUGCUCCCGGGCCUGCUCUGCUGGAGGAGCCCGUGAGGAGCAGACUGGGGCCUUUUAUGGCCCCAAAACUGAAGAAGAAUUUUAUGAGAUUCUUGUGACUGCUCUCUCUCCCUUCCUUCUUCCCUCCAUUUCUAUUUUCUCUCCUUUGAAGUAGCAACCAUCCUUGCCUUGGACAAUUUCUCUCACAGCCCAUACAUCCUCCAGAGAUUUCACUCCGGGCCCGUAAUCAGAAUUAGCCCACAUUACUAGACCCAAUGUGGAUUUUUUUUUUUUAAUCUCUCUCUAACUUUUCAAACAGAAAUCUUGACAUGAACUCAGUCAUCUCCAUUUUCACCCCACAAGAGUGGUAGACUUAAACCCAGGGUCGCAGAAGCACUGGGUGUUGGUGUUGUCAUUAAAAUUCCCUCCAUUUCUUCACUGGACACAGUCAUUUGUGACCACCCAAGGACAUCUUGGCUGAAACUACAACUUGUGCUUCAUGCAUGAGUUGAAAUUCUUCAUCAAGCCCUGGAAGAAAUAUCAAAGGUUUUUACAGAAGAAAUCACACAUAAAGAAAAAAAAGAUGGAAGCAUCUAUUAAAAACACAGUAACUGUCUCUUUGAAAAACCUUGUUUCAUUUUUGGAGAAUGAGGAAGUUGAUCUUUGACAGGAGAAAGAAGGGAUAAAAGAAACAGGAAAACAGGGGAAAUGGAUAGAAACAAGUUAAUUUGUGCAUUGUCAUAACUGAGAAAGAGUUUGCAGCAUAAAAGACGUUUACCAGAGCAUAACCCCGGGACAUGAUUUGACCUUGUUUGGCCACAGUUUCCUCUUCUGUGAAGUGAGGAAGUUGGCUUCGAGGAUCUCUUGACAGUUCCAGCCAUUGUGAAUCAAUGCCUUUCAUUGAGAGCAGAAAGGAAGAAUCCUACACUUCAGAAUCGAGGGUAAUGAUAAUUCUUACAGACCUAUAAUUUUAGGACUGCAAAACCACUAAGAAGUAACCACAAAAAAUCUAAACGAAUAAGAGUUCAACUUGUGGGCUAGUGAUGCAUUAUUAUCCCAAAUCCACAGUUUUUCUUAUGCAGACAGUAGCAGUUAUAAAAUGUAAUGAAAGAAGAAUGUGGCUCAAAAAGAAAGAAAAACCAUGAAAUAUCUAGGAGUCAAGUUACAAAAACACUCUGAACAACCCAGAAAGAAACUUACUGAAGGACACAAAAGGUUGUACUAAGAGGAGGCAAAAACAUCUAAAGGGAUAUCUUGUUCUUAGACUCACAUGACCCACAUGCCAUUUUUUUUUCUUUAGUAAAACCUGUAAUUUCAAUGAAGCAAUAACAUUGUGUUUAACUUGAUGGAAUAAUUUAAAUGUUAUUUGGUAAUAGAGAAUCACUGAGCGUAGCCAUGAACUCUGAAAGAGACUGAAGAGGGAGAUCUGAUUAUCUUGAACUAGAGGAGCUGUGUUAUUAAUAGCUCAGAUCACUUAGUGCUGCCUCUGGCAGAGACAAACAGAAGAGCGGAAGGAACAGAACUGUCUCUAACCAGGACUAGGCAUUCCAGGACCUCCGUUCUGGGACAAUGAGGUUCCUCCAUGUCUUCCUCACCGCUCUCUCGAUCCUCUUCCAGACAGCACUAGGGCACUCAAUUUUGAAAGACCCUGCUAUCUUCGGGGUGGAAUCUGCCUGAAGCAAGGGACGCCGAGCUGUGAGCCCUUCAGAGGACCCUGCCGGGCAUUCACCGUUUGCUGCAAAAUAAAGCCGAGCUGAUGGAGGCAGCCCAGCUGAGGAACCCAGCGAGAGACCCAGAGCAAGUCUCCUCUUGUGCAGAUAAAAGCAGACGGUUCUCCCAUCUACACAAUCGACUAUUUUAUCAUUCAGACUGAUUAAAGUUAUCUUCCAUGGCAGGGUAGGCAGUGGGAGGGAGACAGUC